GGUUAAAAACAAGUAGAGGUUAGUUAUACAAUAAUUAGUAUAUAAUGACAUUUAGGCAACCUGACGUCACUCUGUUUUGCCAAUUGCAAACAUGUUACUUUCCAUUGUUAGAUAGAGGAUUGCUGAAAUGUUAUCUAAAAGUCCAAACAUGUACAUGAAUUGCAAAUGCAGCUUUUGAUUUGUGGUCUUGUUUUUAGCUUGACCUUAUAAUGAAAUCUAUUUUUAUUUUUAAGUUUAUUUUUUUAAGACAAGAUCUUGCUUUGUCACCCAGGCUGGAGUGCAGUGGCACAAUCUCGGCUCACUGCAAUCUCUGCCCCCCAGAUUCAAGCGAUUCACUUGCCUCAGCCUCCCUAGUAGCUGAGAUCACAGGCAUGUGCCACCACGCCCGGCUAAUUUUUGUAUUUUUUUAAUAGAGACAGGGUUUCUCCAUGUUGACCAUGCUGGUUGCGAACUCCUUACUUCAGGUGAUCUACCCGCCUCGGCCUCCCAAAGUGCUGGGAUUACAGGCAGGAGCCACCAUGCCCUGCCUUAAUGAAAUCUAUUCUUAUUGAAGAGAGUGGAGAAUGUGUUUUAUAAGGAAAAUUGUAGCAAAUAUUAAAUGCCACAAAGUUGUCUCAGUAUCGCUAAGAUAAUUAAGGUCUUUGAGAAAUACAAGUAAGAAUUUAAAGAGUAGAGUAAAGAAACAGACUAAAGUAAGCACAAAUGUUUCCUUACAGUCAAGGGAUUUGUACAGCCCUGUAGGAGACACCUCCAGAGAAAGUAACAGCUCUCAAUUGAUUAGCUGAGCCAGAAUUAGCUUCUGUUACUUACAACUGUGAGUCCUGACUGAAAACAUAUUUCUUCCUUUGAAGAACUGUUACCUGUAACAGGCUAAGAAGAAUAUUAAGAAUAAACAGAUGCUUUUACAGCUCGCCUUGGCGGGAAGAUCUGGCACAAAUGAAGUAUCUAUAAGGAGCAGCAGAGUCAAGGUGGUGAUCCUGUGGAUGAAUAACUGAAACCUGAUAUACUUGACAGCAGAAAAUAUAAAGCAAAUUGAAAAGGAGAGAGUGUGGAGAUAAAUAAGAAAAUGAAAGAACUGAUAAAGUCACUUGGAUUAAAAAACCUGGGAGAAGACACCAGACAAAUGAGUUACACUGUUUUGGACUCCCCAACACAACCCAGCCACCGGCUGAAUGCCACCAAAUUACCUUCUAGUUAAAGGUUUAUGGAGCAAACGAAUCACCUAUUCAAUAUCUGCUUGAAUUUCUGACUCAAAAUACAUCAGGUAUAAAAUGAUGGUUUUUUUAAGCCACUAAGUCUUGGGGGAGUUUAUUAUAAAGCAA
rnacentral:lncRNA from 10 species